UCGGCUCACAAGCCAAAUCUUAGAUCGGCUCAACUAUUGGUGUUUUUUGGUGGGAGAGGCGUUGGAAAUAUCAAAUAUAGAGUGUCUUUUGCGUGGGGAGUCUUGGUUUCUAAAAUUCAUUCCUUGUCGUGUUGCACUUUCCACUUUCCUCUUUCUUUUUUUGUAGAUGGAUCUGAAAAUCUUUUCUUCUUCCAUUUUCACGGCAGCCCGUCUUGCCUAGCAAUUCAUUUCCUACUUGUUUUUUCUCUCCCCUCUUUGUAGAUCUAAAAACUCAAUUGAAUUUGUUCGUUUGCAAGUACGAUCGCUCAUAUUCAUUGUUAUUACUGGCCGUGGAGCUUUUUUUAGUUUAGUGAAGGCUAAUUAAAGGUCAAUACAGGCUAAACUUCAUUUGUAUGAGUUUUUUUCCCCCUCCUGUACUCUACUUCAAUUCGGGAAAAUAUUGGAGACCGGCUUACUUUUGGGAAGAUGAUGUUUGUCCCAUGCCCGGUACCACUAAGAUCGAGAACUUGAACCUAAACAUUCAAGCUUUAUCUAUGAAAUUGAUACCCCAAGAGAUGGCUGAACUUGAAUCCUUUGCUUCUGCCGACGUGGUUAAGGACGAUAGACAUGCUUACAUGGCAAACACAUGGUUAAACUCAGAGACUCCCCCACUAUCCUCGUGGAAGCCCGAAUAGGCACCUCCUUUGCUCUUUCACUUUGAGUACUGGACUGAUUCUUAGAAUCAAUUAAAUAAAUGACUUUGUGUGUUUGCUAAUAUGUGUUGAAUUCAAAGUUGUUUCUGAGGAAUUUUCUAAUUGAUUUAUGCAAAAUUCAAAAUAAAACUAUUUUUUCCAUUUCUGUUGUAUUAUGUCCCUUUCCCCAAGUUGCACUUUCUUAUUCUUAUUCACGUGACAUCACACACAACUCUAGGGUGUGUUUGCUAGGAUACUUUCAUUUUGUAUUUGUCUUGCGUGAUAAAGAGAGUUCGAAAAAAGAAUAAUUUUAAGGGAGAAAGUUGUUAUUUAUAGUGAGUGAAUGCAAUAAUUAUCUUAUUAUGAUUUGUUAUUAUUGUGAGCCAAUGCAAUAAAUUAUCUUAUUUGAUGAUUUGUUAUUCGAGCCGAUGAUUAUAUUUUAUUAAAAUUAUUUGGUAUAUGAAAUUAUUU
rnacentral:lncRNA from 1 species